ACUGCUGCUAAUCUAUCGCCGCUGCCAACCUAUCCCUCGCUGCUAAUCUAUCCCUCGCUGCUAAUCUAUCCCUCGCUGCUAAGCUAUCCCUCGCUGGCUAAGCUAUCCCUCGCUGGCUAUCCCUCACUGCUAAGCUAUCGCCGCUGCCAACCUAUCUAUUGCUGCUAAGCUAUCCCUCGCUGCUAAUCUAUCCCUCGCUGCUAAGCUAUCCCUCGCUGCUAAGCUAUCUAUCGCUGCUAAUCUAUCGCUGCCAAUGUAUCGCUGCCAAUGUAUCGCUGCUGCCAACCUAUCUACCGCGGCGAAUCUAUCUAUCGCUGCCAAUUUAUCUACCACUGCCAAUCUAUCUAUCGCUGCCAAUCUAUUGCUGCUAAUCUAUCGCUGCUAAUCUAUUGCUGCUGUCAAUCUAUCUAUCACUGCUAAUCUAUCGCUGCUGCCAAUCUAUCUAUCACUGCUAAUCUAUCGCUGCCAAUGUAUCGCUGCUGCCAAUCUAUCUAUCACUGCUAAUCUAUCGCUGCCAAUGUAUCGCUGCUGCCAAUCUAUCUAUCACUGCUAAUCUAUCGCUGCCAACCUAUCUACCGCGGCGAAUCUAUCUAUUGCUGCCAACCAACCUACCUACCACUGCCAACCUAUCUAUCGCUGCCAAUCUAUCGCUGCCAACCUAUCUACUGCAGUGAAUCUAUCUAUCACUAUCAUUACUAGUUCAAAAUAGAACUAGAGCAUAAAUACACUAAACUUCUUUUGAUAGAUAAUGAUUUUUGGUAACACUCAUAGCAUUAUAUCAUCUACAGUAAUUUAUAAGAAGAACAUGACCUGGGACUAGAUUUAUAAUAUAAACAGUGUAAAGUGACUAAUUUAAUAAACACUAUAUGGGACCAGGACUAAGAAAUUUGAUAAUGGGACUGGAGAAAUAUUUAGUCCCAGUCCCAUGCAUGGUCACACAGCCAGUCUAAUAGUGAAGUCUCUUCAUCAAGAAUGACUCAGUUAUGAAUAGAGAAAUGUAACUAGAG
rnacentral:sRNA from 1 species